AGAGUUUGAUCCUGGCUCAGGAUGAACGCUGGCGGCGUGCUUAACACAUGCAAGUCGAACGAUGAUCCCAGCUUGCUGGGGGAUUAGUGGCGAACGGGUGAGUAACACGUGAGUAACCUGCCCUUAACUCUGGGAUAAGCCUGGGAAACUGGGUCUAAUACCGGAUAUGACUCCUCAUCGCAUGGUGGGGGGUGGAAAGCUUUAUUGUGGUUUUGGAUGGACUCGCGGCCUAUCAGCCUGUUGGUGAGGUAAUGGCUCACCAAGGCGACGACGGGUAGCCGGCCUGAGAGGGUGACCGGCCACACUGGGACUGAGACACGGCCCAGACUCCUACGGGAGGCAGCAGUGGGGAAUAUUGCACAACGGGCGAAAGCCUGAUGCAGCGACGCCGCGUGAGGGAUGACGGCCUUCGGGUUGUAAACCUCUUUCAGUAGGGAAGAAGCGAAAGUGACGGUACCUGCAGAAGAAGCGCCGGCUAACUACGUGCCAGCAGCCGCGGUAAUACGUAGGGCGCAAGCGUUAUCCGGAAUUAUUGGGCGUAAAGAGCUCGUAGGCGGUUUGUCGCGUCUGCCGUGAAAGUCCGGGGCUCAACUCCGGAUCUGCGGUGGGUACGGGCAGACUAGAGUGAUGUAGGGGAGACUGGAAUUCCUGGUGUAGCGGUGAAAUGCGCAGAUAUCAGGAGGAACACCGAUGGCGAAGGCAGGUCUCUGGGCAUUAACUGACGCUGAGGAGCGAAAGCAUGGGGAGCGAACAGGAUUAGAUACCCCAGUAGUCC
rnacentral:rRNA from 1 species